AUUGAACGCUGGCGGCAGGCCUAACACAUGCAAGUCGAGCGGAGCGGCGGACGGGUGAGUAAUGCCUAGGUAUCUGCCUGGUAGCGGGGGAUAACGACCGGAAACGGGCGGUAAUACCGCAUACUAUCAGAUGAGCCUAGGCGGGAUUAGCUAGUUGGUGGGGUAAAGGCCAACGAAGGCGACGAUCCGUAACUGGUCUGAGAGGAUGAGCAGGCACACUGGAACUGAGCCACGGUCCAGACUCCUACGGGAGGCAGCAGUGGGGAAUAUUGGACAAUGGGCGAAAGCCUGAUCCAGCCAUGCCGCGUGUGUGAAGAAGGUCUUCGGAUUGUAAAGCACUUUAAGUUGGGAGGCGUUACCAGCAGAAUAAGCACCGGCUAACUUCGUGCCAGCCGCCGCGGUAAUUC
rnacentral:rRNA from 1 species